UUCUCAAUCGCGCAGCUACGCUGGAUCGCUGUCUCGAGCGCACGCGAGAGACCCGUCGAUUGUCGCGAUGGAUCGAAGCGCCAGGAAGACAUCCGACAGCGGUUUUGGUGGGGCCCGUGAACAGUAAUUCCAUGGGAAAAUCACCCCGCACCACCGCUCCCCUUCCUCCUCCCUAUUCUGUUUGCAGGCGACGGGAGAGGCGGGGCAAUUUCUGCGCCGAUUCACCGUCACGGGAAGGCCAACCAUGGGCGCAUCUCGCCGGCGACCACGGAGCGGCUCCAUCGACCAACACCGCCAGGCGUAAGCAUGGUCGAAUGAAUCGAAAUUCGAACCGUGGCACAGGCGUAGAAGAGCGCACAAGAGACGAAGUUGAUGAAGUUAAAGAAGAAAGGCAAGCAAAACGGACGAAGAAAGGCACAAACGAGGGUGCAGGUUGUCAGGCGGCGGCCCAUGUGCAACUACCGAAAGAGCAUGCUGGCGGUGAGUGUCUCUAAGAGAAAAGGUGGAGAGGAUGUUGCAUCUCAAGGGGGACUCCCUAAGUGAAGGAGCAACUUUUGUGCUAUGUGGAGCAACUUUCGUGCUACGAGAAGCAACUCCCAGCUAUGUCCCCCUUCCAUGACGCCAGUUCGACUAAUGAUCUUUGUAAGUUCGCUAAUAUGACUAUCAAGUUGUGUAAUGUUUUUCUUAUGUUGCCUACAAUCAACCAUGCUAUUGCCCAAAACCAUAUAUCCAUUUGCUCACAAUCAAUCAUAUAGUUGUCUAAAACCAUGUAUCCAGUUGCCCAUAAUCAACCAUCCAGUUGUCUAAAAUCAUGUAUCCAG